UCGGCGGUGUGGCUCAGAUCCACCGCACAGUGGUCGGCGCUCGUUCUAGGGCACGGCUGGGCGGAGGAGAAGUGGGGUUCGGCUCGGUAGAGAAGAGAAGGAAGAGAAGAGGACUAGGGCUCGGCGACAAAGAGAAGAGGAAGAGAACCGCCGAGUGGUGGUUAGGGCGUGGGAGCGGCGUCGGGCGCACGGGGAGAGGGAAAAGAAUCGGCGAGGAGAAAAAGAAAAAAAAAAUUUUUAAAAAGAAAAGGAAAAAUCAACUUUUCCUCACUUAAAUGGGGUAGCCUAAACAGGCUUUUCCGGGUCCCAUUUUGUCCCCGUUAACUCGUCCAUACGAGCUCCGAAAAAUUCCCGAAAAAUUUCCAAAAAUUCCGGAAUAUUCCCUUAUUAAUAUUCGCCUAUUUUCCGGUAUUUUACACUCAAGAUGCCAGGAUUUCCAGGUAGUUCUUAUCGAGAGGUUUUAGAUCGGGCGUUAUUCAUUGAGAUGACUCAGCAACAAGUGAAUCUGGAAAAAAGUAACAAUAAACAAGUGACACAGAAGAAAGAGAAAAGAGGUCAAAGCUCACAGGUUACUUCAGGAGGGUCCUCUCCAUCGCAGAAGAUAAGGCGAACCUCGGAUGGGGUUUCUCGUUCUUCUCAACGAGACCGGAAGAAUGACUUUGGGGGGAUCAUGUGUUUUUAAUGUGGCUCCAAAAGUCAUACCAAAAAUAACUGCCCGUUGGAUCACGCUUUAUGCUUCUAUUGUAAGCUUCCAGGGCACGAGAGUCAAAAUUGCACUCUGAAUGCUCAGUUGGAGAUGACUAAAGAUACCACUCAGGGAGGGCGACCCGCCCAGCCACGACAGAAGAAAGGACCUCAAAGGACUCAGAACGCUUCAUAUCCGCCGCAAUCCCCGGGCCCCAGGGGAAGGUAUAUCAUAUCCAGAGUCAGAAGUAUCCAGUGGUCCCAGCGACCACGCAGUACUCUACGGCAGCAUCCCCUUAUCAGACAUAUCCUGUACAGUAGGACCCUUCCCUUCCAUCUCAGCCUUAUUUGGCAUUCCAACCUCAGCCUCAGUACCAACAGCAGCAGCAGGGUGUCGCCUCUCCGAUUCCACGUCAGUCUACUUCAACGAUGCCACCAUCGAGCUCAGAAGUGGGACAUGCUUAUGCAGUCACGCGAGAGGAGACACAGCGGGCUGAGGGAUCGGUCUUUCGGGGUAAGGUCUCAGUUUAUACCCUUAUUGCUCACUUAUUGAUAAAUACGAGUAGUCCUCAUUCGUUAUUAUCUCGAGUAUUUUUGAGUAAAAUCGGUAGACUACUUAUUCACCGGACAUAUGGGUUAGCAAUAUCUUUACCAUUCAGAUGGUACUCGCAUGUACAGGGAUUUAAGCGAUCCUAUUGUGGGAGUAGCAGGAGCAGGAUGAGCUCAUAACCCACAGAGUCAUCCUUUACGGUUGGCGAUUUGUUCACGACACUAUGACAAAGUGGUAUAUAUGCAUGUUGCUUAGCUGUUAUCCUUAGAUGAAGGUCCUUGAGUUGAGAAGUAAAUUUGGGGACUAAAUUUUUGUUAGUAGGGGAGAAUGUAAAAUAUCGCACCUAAAUAAUAAUUAAAUAAUAAGAUUUAAUGGAUGAAAAAUAUUAAUGAAAAUUUUAGAAAUUUUCUGAGAUUUAAUUAGAGGUUGUAUGACGUAAUCAAAGGGGAUUGCAUUACUGGGCUCGAGAAGAGCCUGUUAGAAAUAUCCGGAGGUGGGAGUUAAUUGAGGAAUGGAUCUAGGGUUUAAUUGGAAAAUCUCUAAGUUAUAAAAGGAAAAUUUCCCGUGCCCUAACUCCCCACACGGCGCCAAACCCUUUCUUCCUGAGCCUUCACCGCGCGAGUACCAGCCGACCUCUCUCUUCCCGAGCUCUCACCCUCUCCGACCUCUUCCUCUCACACGACGAGCCACAGACGUCGCCCCCUCCUUCACCGAACCCUUCUCCUCAAAUCCUCCGUCGAACCUGCUCUCCUCCUCGCGCGGGCACCACAGCCGACGAUCCUCUUCCCCUCUCCGUUGUGCCCUAACCUCUUUUCCUCUUCGCCAAGACGCGCCGCCGCCACCUACUCCCGAGCCUUCGCCUCUUCCUCGUGAUCUUACCGCACCGACCCCUCACCUGUUCCCUAGUUGUUCUUGAUGCCGAUUUCUUCUUCCUCUUUCUGCUCGCGUCACCCCGGUGGCCCCGACCAACACCGGCCGCCAGCCAGUCUUCCAUCGCUGCUGCCCUCUGCUCAGGUUCAUCACCACAGCAGAGGCAUUCUUGGUAGCUGUCGGUAAAGCUAACCCUUUCCGGCAACAAAGCCCUAGUUGUGCGUGGUGGGUUUGAGGUAAGAUACUUAAUUUUGGUUGAUUUAGGUUUUGGUAAGUGCAUCUUGUUGACCUGAAGUAUGCAAAGUAUCAUGUCUACCAUUAACUGUCUCCAUUGUGUCGGUUCGGUUAUGGGAUUUUGUUUCUGGUAUUCUGGUUGCUACUUGCGAAGUUAGAGCUAAGGUAAUAUAGGUGACGCUGGUUUUUUGGGAGGAGCCUCUACUGCAUGUAAUAUUCAUAUUUAGUUGUACGGUUCUUGAAUUGGAAAUUAUUAUUUUACCCUUUU